rnacentral:rRNA from 1 species
AACGAACGCUGGCGGCAUGCCUAACACAUGCAAGUCGAACGAGACCUUCGGGUCUAGUGGCGCACGGGUGCGUAACGCGUGGGAAUCUGCCCUUUGCUUCGGAAUAACAGUUAGAAAUGACUGCUAAUACCGGAUGAUGUCUUCGGACCAAAGAUUUAUCGGCAAAGGAUGAGCCCGCGUAGGAUUAGGUAGUUGGUGGGGUAAAGGCCUACCAAGCCGACGAUCCUUAGCUGGUCUGAGAGGAUGAUCAGCCACACUGGGACUGAGACACGGCCCAGACUCCACGGGAGGCAGCAGUGGGGAAUAUUGGACAAUGGGCGAAAGACCUGAUCCAGCAAUGCCGCGUGAGU